CCCCAUUCUGUUCGGGCCGC
rnacentral:miRNA from 1 species